GAAGCUCCGAGGGACUGUCGAGAGAGGACAGAUUAUCAGGACUUCUAAUAUGAUGGUGGAGCACUACAAUAAUAAGUAUGUGGCCAAGGUUUUCUCGGCCAAAUCAGUGGUAAGAUUUAGUUCAGCAUGCAGUGAAGAGUUUGAACCUAUUACUGACUAUGAAAAUUACAGAGUCACUGAUGUGGAGAAGGCGGAAAUAACCCGCCUGAGAGAGUGGUGGGCCUCUCACCACCAUGAACUU